UCAAUUACCCACUGCUGUUUUCACUGUGAGGUGAGGGAAGAGUGUGAUUUCAUUGCAAUUACAAAGAUCUCUAUGUAUGGUUAUGAACAUUCAUCCAAUCCUUUACUUCAAGAGUGGCCCCCUCCCUCCCAGGAAUUGACUGUGAAUCCACA